GUGGGGACUGUUAGCAGCAUAGGAUUGAGGGGUUGGAAGAGACCUUUAGAACAGCAGGUUGUUCUGCCAACUGGAUGUCUGCUCUAAGUUCGGUAUCAAUAUGGUGACCUCCUGGGAACAGGGGGCCACCAGGUUGCCUAAGGAUGAAUGAACUGGCCCAGAUCAGAAAGGGAGCAGGUCAGAACUCCCACACCAAAAGGUAGUGUGACUGUGCCUGAGCAAUACAGAAGAUCUUGGAUCUUACAGGAAAUAUAAAGAACAGCAGCUCAUUCCC
rnacentral:SRP_RNA from 1 species